UCAGUAUUAUGAAAGUAGUUCAGCUGAAAUGUUUGCCUUCCUGUGCUCAGUCACUUGAGCAGUCCAAGUGACACCUUUGACAAGACAGAACAAGAAAUUUAUUCCUUCAAUAUGGAGCAUUUUGCAAGGGAAGCUGAGUUUUGGAGCAGGCUAAUGGGGAAGAGUGUUCUUCUGACCAGUGAACAAACCAACGUCAUCAGGAGUACUUUGAGAGCUCCUUGAGAAUUUAUUAGACAGGCAGCAGCCCUUGGAAUACUGGAGCUGUGGCGAGAGAGACUACCUCGGGAACUGGGAGAGAGCAAGGCAAAGCCAAGAGAAGAGAGGAAUCUUCUUCAGCCAGAGCAUUAAUAGGAGAAGGGAGCCGCCGUGUUAAGCAGGACACAAUUCAAAUGAGUGUGAAGACUGUAUGGCAGCCUAACAAGAACUCAGUGUGCUUCUGCUGAACUGAGCUGAAGAGGGAAGAGAAAGAGAAAGACUGUACCCUUUCUACCUGCUUCGUCCCUGGCAUCUGGUCCACCUCAGCUGUGGUCCUGUGGUUGUCACAGGUGAGCGGCUCAGAUUUGUUCCAGACCCCAAAGAUUCUAGGCAGGCAGGUGGGUCUGUCCAAGUCACCCCUGGUCCCCAGGAGCCCAGAGAUGCCAGGUUCAGCUGAGAUCAGCAUGGGCAUCACCUGUCACUGCAGAAUUGGACUGAAGACCCUGAGGGGUCUGUCAGUACUGAGACAGGCUCUCUGUGGCAAAGGCUGCUGGCCCUACUUUAUUUUUCUAUCAGCCUUGAAUAGCUUUGAGCCUAAGACCACCUGUCUAAUUCCAUCUGAAAUCCAGUAAGUAUCUGGAAGAAAGCAACCCCAUGUGGAAAUCGGUAGGGGUGUAUAGAUCCUGGUUUCUUAGAAAUUAAUACAAUUUCAAAAUGCGCAUCCUGACAAGGCCGAGGUUCUAAACGAGAAAACAUUUAUGAAGCUAAGUAUGUUUAAAUAAUGGUAAAUAGGCCUUCCAUAACUGGGCUUAGCAAAAGCAAAUGCUUAUGAUCUUGUGCUCCCUGAAGAGGAGAGAGGCUGUCUUUAGGACAGGCACCGAGACUUUGCCAGGCUGCCUUUCCUCGUGGCACAUCAUGAGGAAAUUUGUAAUAGGUCAAAACAUUUGAAAACAAGAUUCUCCAUAAUAAACGGCCCUGCCUGAGAUGUCAUAGAAAGCAACAUUUUAAUGACGAUAAUAAACUAUGAUGAUAAACUAUGGCGUCAUCUCAUCAUAUCCCCAGGUGUAAGGUUCAAGUAUAAAACCAGUUAAAAUCACCGUACAGGGAGAGCAGGCCUGGACUUUUCACACUACUAAAAUUUUGUUAUGGUAUCCAGUGGGCAGAACUAGCAGAAAAUACUUAAUUAAAACAAAACAAAAACCAACCCUUUUCCUGGCAGAACUAUAACCAGCAAUACCUUCUAAUAAGUAAUUGUGGACAGUAAUUUUCCAGAAUAUGGAUAACAUGAAGGAAUUUGGCAGUAUUAUUUUCCCACAUCUACUUUUACCACUUUUUAGCUUAUUUCUUUUUCCUGCUACUUU